GACGAACGCUGGCGGCGUGCCUAAUACAUGCAAGUCGAACGAACCGCGACUAGGUGCUUGCACUUGGUCAAGGUGAGUGGCGAACGGGUGAGUAACACGUGGGUAACCUACCUCAUAGUGGGGGAUAACAGUCGGAAACGACUGCUAAUACCGCAUAGGACAUAGGAUCACAUGAUUCUGUGAGGAAAGGUGGCGCAAGCUAUCGCUAAGAGAUGGACCCGCGGUGCAUGAGCUAGUUGGUAGGGUAAAGGCCUACCAAGGCGAUGAUGCAUAGCCGACCUGAGAGGGUGAUCGGCCACAUUGGGACUGCGACACGGCCCAAACUCCUACGGGAGGCAGCAGUAGGGAAUCUUCCGCAAUGGACGCAAGUCUGACGGAGCAACGCCGCGUGAGUGAAGAAGGUCUUCGGAUCGUAAAGCUCUGUUGUUAGCGAAGACCAGCGCAUAGAGUAACUGUUAUGCGUGUGACGGUAUCUAACCAGAAAGCCACGGCUAACUACGUG
rnacentral:rRNA from 1 species